UGAGUAAUACAUCGGAACGUGCCCAAUCGUGGGGGAUAACGCAGCGAAAGCUGUGCUAAUACCGCAUACGAUCUACGGAUGAAAGCAGGGGAUCGCAAGACCUUGCGCGAAUGGAGCGGCCGAUGGCAGAUUAGGUAGUUGGUGAGGUAAAGGCUCACCAAGCCUUCGAUCUGUAGCUGGUCUGAGAGGACGACCAGCCACACUGGGACUGAGACACGGCCCAGACUCCUACGGGAGGCAGCAGUGGGGAAUUUUGGACAAUGGGCGAAAGCCUGAUCCAGCCAUGCCGCGUGCAGGAUGAAGGCCUUCGGGUUGUAAACUGCUUUUGUACGGAACGAAACGGCCUUUUCUAAUAAAGAGGGCUAAUGACGGUACCGUAAGAAUAAGCACCGGCUAACUACGUGCCAGCAGCCGCGGUAAUACGUAGGGUGCAAGCGUUAAUCGGAAUUACUGGGCGUAAAGCGUGCGCAGGCGGUUAUGUAAGACAGUUGUGAAAUCCCCGGGCUCAACCUGGGAACUGCAUCUGUGACUGCAUAGCUAGAGUACGGUAGAGGGGGAUGGAAUUCCGCGUGUAGCAGUGAAAUGCGUAGAUAUGCGGA
rnacentral:rRNA from 1 species